rnacentral:lncRNA from 1 species
GGUUGUUGGAAAAAAAAUUUUGCAAAAUUAAUAUUGAUAAAUCACACAAUAUUUUACUUUGGAUUUUUAAUUUUUUCCACUUAACAGGUGGUGGCAAAAGUGAACAAUGGAAAAGGAGAAUUUAUGGUGUCAGUGAAACCAAAAGCUUCUUUAUGUGAUGGUGCAUUUCAUAAAAUAUCAGGUGAGACAUCCUUACAGUAAGAGGAUUUGUUUUUCAAUGUUGUGCUGUCAUUUUAUACUUGUGCCUCGUCCAUUUACUCUCUAGUGAUCAAGAGGAUGCAUGUUGUGCAACUGUCUGUGGACACAAUGGACAAUUACAAGAUCGGACCACCAACUUCCACACCCAUUUUGACCAAAGGCCCUCUGUAUUUGGGUGGCAUUCCUGGGACACUGACCCAAACGGCGCUCCCAGUCACGUCCUCUUUUACGGGCUGCAUCCAAGACAUGACAAUCAACGAUGAGCUGAUCUCCUUCAGCCGGCUGUCAGCGGUGUUUGGCCCAGUCAACCUCAAGGAGUGUCCAGGCUGAGCAACGCUGCCCUCCUCUGAACAAACCUUGGGACCAUGUUUACCACCACCUAUGUGCAAUCUGUUACCAUGACAGAGAAUGUUUUUGUGAGUGUGAGUCGGAGUUCGGUUUGAUUGUGCGAACGCGUGUGAAAGCAGAGAAACCAGCAGCAGCUGUUUGCUGCUCAUCUCUUAAACAUUUCUUUUAUUUAUUUUGUAACGAAAUCAUGACACAUUUCAGGAAUCCGUUUUCUGUAAGAUGCAUCAAUUUGUCGACUCAGCAACCAAAUGCUACUGAACUGAUGUGUUUUUUUGGCCAAAUCAGCACUUUAAGAAAACAGAUCAUUUUUUUGUAAUGGUGCUGUAAAUGAGAUCCAUAGUACAUGUUUUUGUUUUGUUGUUUUAAAACAGAAAUCUAUUUAAAAAGAAAAAAAAAAACUGUUUAGUCUACAAAUGACAGAUUUGGUGACUUUAAUGUGUUUUUUAAAUUGUUUUCCACAUACCAGCUUGCAGAGUUUUUUUUACAUUUUAGCUGGCUAUAAGUGUGAGACAUUAUUCACAUUCUUUAUUUGACUUGUUUUGAUUAAAUGAUCCACUUUGCAUUCCUUUAAUGUGAAAACAAGAAUGUUUGUCUGCUUGUAUGACCAUAAAAAAGCAUACAUUUAUCAUUUGGAAGUAAAAAAAAUAAGGUUAUGCCACAAAUACAAACAGAGUCAAGUUUGGGACCAUUUCUAUAAAUUCAGAUUAUUAUAACUUGUCACAUGAUGUGUUUGAAGUACAUUCACCAGAAAGUGUUUACUCACCUGCUUUGUACAUUUUUAUUAAAAUUCUGAAACUAAAUUAAAA